rnacentral:rRNA from 1 species
UACAGAGGGGGCAAGCGUUAUUCGGAAUUAUUGGGCGUAAAGGGCGCGUAGGCGGCUUUUCAAGUGAGGGGUGAAAUCCCUCGGCUUAACCGAGGAACUGCCUGUCAGACUGGAAGGCUUGAGACCGGGAGAGGUGAGUGGAAUUCCCAGUGUAGCGGUGAAAUGCGUAGAUAUUGGGAGGAACACCAGUGGCGAAGGCGGCUCACUGGACCGGAACUGACGCUGAGGUGCGAAAGCGUGGGGAGCAAACAGG